GAGGGUAUAGCUCAGUGGUAGAAUGUGUGUGCCCGAGGUCCUGGGUUCAAUUCCCAGUACCUUCA
rnacentral:tRNA from 1 species